AUUGAACGCUGGCGGCAGGCCUAACACAUGCACGUCGAGCGAGCGGCGGACGGGUGAGUAAUGCCUGUGAAUUUCCCCUUCGAGGGGGAUAACAGUUGGCAACGACUGCUAAUACCGCAUACGAUUGGAUUGCCCAGGUGGGAUUAGCUAGUUGGUGAGGGAAUGGCUCACCAAGGCGACGAUCCCUAGCUGGUCUGACAGGAUGAUCAGCAACACGUGAACGGAGACACGGUCCAGAGUCCUACGGGAGGCAGCAGGGGGGAAUAUUGCACAAGGGGGGAAACCCGGAUGCAGCCAUGCCGCGUGUGUGAAGAAGGCCUUCGGGUUGUAAAGCACUUUCAGCGAGGAGGCGUUACUCGCAGAAGAAGCACCGGCUAACUCCGUGCCAGCAGCCGCGGUAAUAC
rnacentral:rRNA from 1 species